AAAGGGCGGUCUUGGCAUGAGGGAGACAAGCUGUUUUGAACUCCAGUAAACACAUUCAGUGUGUGAUCAUCAUGAGCAGCUCCUGCAGCCUUUCCACGGUAGGCAGGCAGCAAGCAACGUGAGCUAAUGAACUGUGUUUUAACCACCUGAUGCUGGCCAGGGCUUUAAUCUAUCAGGCUUAAGGGCUGCAUGGAGGAGGGGAGGCAGAGAGCUUGGGCACACCCCAGCACCACUGAAACUGUUCAUCAGCCCGCUCUGCAGUCUACUGCAGAGUUUGCUUUAUUAAAGCUCCCUGCUGCCUGCACACGUUCACUGGCACAGACAUCGGGAGACAAGCAAACACUUACCCGAGUGCAGAGUACUCGCUGCUGCAUUGCAGGGUUUGCUGGCACAAAGCGAUGGGGAUCAGAGAGAAACCCUUGUUCACAUGUGGUACCUGAGCCAGCAGAGCUCCUGAUGGCCCUGCUGCUGCAGCACUGACAUCAGUGAAAUCACACCAUUGUGAUGCAGGAAAAACAGUCCCUGGGAUCCAGUGAGAUAUGAAGAAUUUAUACCAGCAGGAUGAAGAGUCCACCUCCUGCAUGACAGUUAAUGCCAUGUACCUGCCCUCCAGGAAACAUGGGGAAAUGCACAGAGUUCAACAUCUCAUUCUUCAGGCUGCUCAGCCCAGAGCAGAGCAGGCUGAGGGGAGGCCUCAUGGCGGCCUGCAGCUCCCUCACAAGAGGAGCGGAGGGGCAGGCACUGAGCUCUGCUCUCUGGGGACAGCGACAGGACCCG